rnacentral:rRNA from 1 species
ACUUAAAUUGAAGAGUUUGAUCAUGGCUCAGAUUGAACGCUGGCGGCAGGCCUAACACAUGCAAGUCGAGCGGUAGCACAGAGAGCUUGCUCUCGGGUGACGAGCGGCGGACGGGGUGAGUAAUGUCUGG